rnacentral:rRNA from 1 species
UACGUAGGCAGCGAGCGUUGUUCGGAGUUACUGGGCGUAAAGGGUGUGUAGGCGGUUGUUUAAGUUUGGUGUGAAAUCUCCCGGCUCAACUGGGAGGGUGCGCCGAAUACUGAAUGACUUGGAGUGCGGGAGAGGAGAGUGGAAUUCCUGGUGUAGCGGUGAAAUGCGUAGAUAUCAGGAGGAACACCGGUGGUGUAGACGGCUCUCUGGACCGUAACUGACGCUGAGACGCGAAAGCGUGGGGAGCAAACAGG